UACGAAGGGGGCUAGCGUUGCUCGGAAUUACUGGGCGUAAAGCGCACGUAGGCGGAUUGUUAAGUCGGGGGUGAAAUCCUGGAGCUCAACUCCAGAACUGCCUUCGAAACUGGCGAUCUUGAGUCCGGGAGAGGUGAGUGGAAUUCCGAGUGUAGAGGUGAAAUUCGUAGAUAUUCGGAGGAACACCAGUGGCGAAGGCGGCUCACUGGUCCGGUACUGACGCUGAGGUGCGAAAGCGUGGGGAGCAAACAGG
rnacentral:rRNA from 1 species